rnacentral:rRNA from 1 species
ACUCAAAUGAAUUGACGGGGACCCGCACAACCAGUGGAGCGUGUGGUUCAAUUCGAGACUAAACGAAGGACCUCACCAGGGUUUGACAUAAUAGCGUCCUAUUUUCCAGAAAUGGAGAAAAUUCGUAAGAAGGCUAUUACAGGUGUUGCAUGGUUGUCGUCAGCUCGUGCCGUGAGGUGUUCCCUUAAGUGGGGAAACGAGCGCAACCCCCGCGUAAUGUUAAAUGAUCAUUACGGACAGCCCCGAUUUCAUCGGGGAGGAAGGAGGGGAAGACGUCAAAUCAGCACGGCCCUUAUACCCUGGGCCACACACACACUACAAUGGCGAAAAACAAUGGGCAGCAACACGGCAACGUGAAGCAAAUCUCUGAAAUUUCGCCUCAGUUCAGAUUGGGGUCUGAAACUCGACCCCAUGAAGUCGGAAUUGGUAGUAAUCGCAGGUCAGCAAACUGCGGUGAAUACGUUCUCGGGUCUUGUACACACCGCCCGU